rnacentral:rRNA from 1 species
AAUCUUCCACAAUGGGCGAAAGCCGGAUCGAGCAUGCCCGCGUGGUUGAGAAGGCCUUCCGGUUCGAAAGACUUUGUUGUAAGGGAGGAACAAGUACAGCAGUAACCGGCCGUACCUUGCCGUUACCUCAUUAGAAACACCCGGCUACCUCCGGCCCAGCAGCCGCGGUAAUACGUAGGUGGCAAGCGUUAUCCGGAAUUAUUGGGCGUAAAGCGUGCGCAGGUGGUUUAUUAAGUCAGAUGUGAAAGCCCACGGCUCAACCGUGGAGGGUCAUUGGAAACUGGUAGACUAGAGUGCAGAAGAGGAUAGUGGAAUUCCACGUGUAGCGGUGAAAUGCGUAGAGAUUUGGAGGAACACCAGUGGCGAAGGCGACUAUCUGGUCUGUAACUGACACUGAGGCGCGAAAGCGUGGGGAGCAAACAGG